GACGAACGCUGGCGGCGUGCUUAACACAUGCCAGUCGAACGGAAAGGCCCUGCUUUGUGGGGUGCUCGAGUGGCGAACGGGUGAGUAACACGUGAGUAACCUGCCCUUGACUUUGGGAUAACUUCAGGAAACUGGGGCUAAUACCGGAUAGGAGCUCCUGCUGCAUGGUGGGGGUUGGAAAGUUUCGGCGGUUGGGGAUGGACUCGCGGCUUAUCAGCUUGUUGGUGGGGUAGUGGCUUACCAAGGCUUUGACGGGUAGCCGGCCUGAGAGGGUGACCGGCCACAUUGGGACUGAGAUACGGCCCAGACUCCUACGGGAGGCAGCAGUGGGGAAUAUUGCACAAUGGGCGGAAGCCUGAUGCAGCAACGCCGCGUGCGGGAUGACGGCCUUCGGGUUGUAAACCGCUUUCGCCUGUGACGAAGCGUGAGUGACGGUAAUGGGUAAAGAAGCACCGGCUAACUACGUG
rnacentral:rRNA from 1 species